UACGGAGGGUGCAAGCGUUUCCGGAUUCACUGGGUUUAAAGGGUGCGUAGGCGGGCAGGUAAGUCAGAGGUGAAAUCUCCGGGCUUAACCCGGAAACUGCCUUUGAUACUAUCUGUCUUGAAUAUGGUGGAGGUAAGCGGAAUAUGUCAUGUAGCGGUGAAAUGCUUAGAGAUGACAUAGAACACCUAUUGCGAAGGCAGCUUACUACGCCUAUAUUGACGCUGAGGCACGAAAGCGUGGGGAUCAAACAGG
rnacentral:rRNA from 1 species